GUUACUGCCACAAUUUUGGGAGAGGGGAACCUUCCGACAGCUGCUAAUUGUAGCGGUUGUAGCUUCUGCUGUCGUUGUUGUUGUUGUUUCUGCUGCUGCUGCUAUUGUCGUCGGUGCAGGUGUUUCGUACGAGAUCAAACAACGCGAGCGUAUCUCUGUGCUUGUUCAAGCAGUGCAGACUGUGUAAAGCGACGGUGCGUGAAUGCCUUUAUAAAGACUGAGGUAGAUAUUCCGCGCUCUGUUUACUCUCUGCUUUGCAGACACUUCUUUUUCCCUAGCUGUUCUCCAUGCGUUGUCUAGAAGCAAGUGUCUACAUGACUGUGUUCUCACUGUCUCUGCCCUCGGCUGCUACUGCCGGUCUACCACUCGUAGUCGCGGAAGCUCUCUUACUACUGUCAAACAACUCCAGGGCGGGUGCAGGACCAGAGCGCGUAGCCGCGGCAUCGGCGUUGCUACUUAUCCGUCUCCUUCUUGAAACUCACCCGAGUCGACUGGCUUGACUAGAAACAAUCGACGAGUAAACUGCGAGAUCAUAGAGGCAGACUCUCCGCUCAUAUUCUUUGAAGUGUCGUAGAGUUUUCCCCGGGCGAGUGAAAAGGCAACCGUGGUGCUGUCGUAAGACUAGUAGCACGGGUAGGAUGAGAGGAAAAGAGUUUCCGGAGAAACAAAUUUCGCGCAUCAGAAAUCGCACCGUACGAAGCGCAGCUGGCAAAAGCUAUGCAGCAGCCGUAAUUUGUAUCCGUUCCUUGCAGUUUACACGAAAGGUUCAGCGGGGUGUUGCCGUUGUGCGCGUAUGGUUAUUGUGCUCCGCAACGUAAGGCCGAAGGUUUUUACUUAGGCUACGGAACUAGGCUACCGCGCGAACAUUGACUGUUAACGAAGGCAUUAGCAGCUGUACUAGGUACACAGCAGCGUGGAUGUAAAACUCGACAAGAAGAUGUCGUCUAAUAUAUAGACACCUGUAUAUGCGGUUAAUACUUAACCAACUGUCUAUCUGCCUAUCGUGCUGUGUCGAACUGGUUUUCCUUCUUUCUUAUGGAGAAAUAUAUUCAAUUGGACUGGCCUGAACUGAAGUUUUUGCCGCGUCGUUCUGGUUGAAAAGCCAAAUUUAGACGAAAUAAAGAUUCUUACCUAAACAAAGAGGUACAACAUCGGUUCUGCACAGGACUUAUAGCUGUUGCUUUCCACAGCUAGGCAACUAUGGUGCAGCAGGUGAAUCGCCAGAAGUUCCAAAGGAACUGUUUCGGCUUUCACGCAUAGGGAUGUUGUUGUUGACGAUAAUGUCGUUUGUUAUAUCGUGCUGGGCCUAAUGGCACUGUGCGACGGCCCGUACACGAACGAGGUAGGAAACAGCUCAAUGACGUGCUUGACGCGAAGCACACUACGACAUUGGCCGAUCAUGGCCGAACGAAGGCGGGUUAGACUGUCCAGCAUUCUGUGUGUCGUUGUGUGUAUAGGAAAUAUCAAAAAUGUCGUAGACGGACCUACUGACAGGUCUCAACUAAGACUAAAAAAAACUUGGUCUGACUAAGUGGUCUUCAGUGGGUGAUCCUGCGCAUAUAGUGUAAGGCUGGGUGUAGUCGCAUUGCAGUCUUGAUUGAAUAACUCUUUACAACUAUGGUUUUUAAUGUCUGAACCUAUAGUCGAAACUUCAUUCCGCUAUGCUUUACGUAGAUAUCGGGAAGUAAACUUUAGGAUAAAUCUUAAUCUUAACAAAUUUCAAUGAACAUCUCACUGUACCUGCGACUGACACUGCACUUAUUAUUAGUAUUAAUUUAUUCACUAUUCUCUUUUGAUAGGAAGCUGCUGAUCACAAACGCGGUUGUCUCUCUAAAUUUUAUUGUACUCUUAUUGGUUCAAUAACCUCGGAUUUUUAUUGUACAAUUUUGUUUUUCCGGGUUACUUUUGUUGUGAAAAGGCUUUCGGUAUCACCUCUUUUUCAGGCAAAGCAUUGCCCCAUUAGGAGUCUGGAAUGAGUCUUGCUACACUUAUUUAGGGUUUCUCCCACAGGCCUACAAAAAGAAAUGGUAUAGUCAAAACUACCUAUCAGUCAUUCUAUUGUCUCAUCCAUUUUAUGAAUAAGCUAAUAAACUUGUUGUACCCCGUAGAAAUCGAAAAAUAUAUCCUGAUCAUUCCCGUGUGUUACGUACAUACUACCGCCAAGUUUCUUUUAAUUUACUACUUAAUGGCGAUGUUUUUGCUGCUACCCUCCUUACAUCGGGUAUAUACUCACAGCACUCAGUGUUGUGUGCGUGUGUGUGAAAAAAAAAAGAAAGUGUCUAGGAUUUUUGCAAACAAUGCGAAUGAAAGAACUGCACUUCGAUUUGGUCGCUUGUGUCUCCCUACAGUCAAAUGGCUGUGAAAUCCGCCUCUCUGAAUUAGUCGGUCGGUCAGUCAGUCUGCUCUGUUUUUACACGUGUUUACGUCGAAUAACAGUG